rnacentral:misc_RNA from 1 species
GUGAAUCAUCGAAUCUUUGAACGCACAUUGCGCCCGCCAGUAUUCUGGCGGGCAUGCCUGUUCGAGCGUCAUUUCAACCAUCAAGCCCCCGGGCUUGUGUUGGGGACCUGCGGCUGCCGCAGGCCCUGAAAACCAGUGGCGGGCUCGCUAGUCACUCCGAGCGUAGUAGUUACAUCUCGCUCAGGGCGUGCUGCGGGUUCCGGCCGUUAAAAGCCUUAUUUACCCAAGGUUGACCUCGGAUCAGGUAGGAAGACCCGCUGAACUUAAGCAUAUCAAUAAGCGGAGGA